rnacentral:sRNA from 1 species
GCAUUUCAGGGAUUUUGUGUGCCCAGGCAGUGACUUCCCGACUUCUCCGGCGUAUCCCCGACGGGGCGCAGAACACCGCCCGUGGCGAAGUCGGGCCGGGGCAGUUUGGGAACCCGUCCCCGGGAGCUCAGCGGCCAGAGGAGGGCGCGGAAGUGUUUCCUGGGUGAGCGCGGCAGCGGGACCCGUUUCCGGAAGGCUGAUUGCAUCAGGUUGGAGUUGCUGUGGGUGAGCUGCUGUGGUCUGUAGCCAAGCAUGCUGUGGUCGGAUCUGCCCAGCCGUGGAACAGAAACAUUUGCUGGAUGGAAAAUCCAUAAAAGAAAGCUCCUGUGAAAAGCUGAGGCUGACAAUAAUUUAAGCAAAAUCAGAUCGAUCUCUUUGGGCUGCCUGACCUCCUUGGGUGCUUGCUAUUAAUUAACAGACUUUGUGGGGAAAAAAAGGAGCUUGCCUUCUGAGCUUUGUACCAAAGACCUGGGAAAACUAAC